UACAGAGGUCCCAAGCGUUGUUCGGAUUCAUUGGGCGUAAAGGGUGCGUAGGCGGUGGGGUAAGUUGGAUGUGAAAUUUUGGGGCUUAACCUCAAAAUUGCAUUCAAUACUGCUCCGCUCGAGUUCUGUGGAGGAGAUUGGAAUUUACGGUGUAGCAGUGAAAUGCGUAGAUAUCGUAAGGAACGCCAGUGGCGAAAGCGAAUCUCUGGGCAGCAACUGACGCUGAGGCACGAAGGCCAGGGGAGCAAACGGG
rnacentral:rRNA from 1 species